CCGGAGAAUGUUAUCACGGGAGACACACGGCGGGUGCUAACGUCCGUCGUGAAGAGGGAAACAACCCAGACCGCCAGCUAAGGUCCCAAAGUCAUGGUUAAGUGGGAAACGAUGUGGGAAGGCCCAGACAGCCAGGAUGUUGGCUUAGAAGCAGCCAUCAUUUAAAGAAAGCGUAAUAGCUCACUGGUCGAGUCGGCCUGCGCGGAAGAUGUAACGGGGCUAAACCAUGCACCGAAGCUGCGGCAGCGAACGUAUCACUUAAAGCGAUUCAGCGGGUUACGAUUGACGGAGCGAAGCGACGUCAAAGCGUAUACAAAGUCGAGUCGGUUUAAGGAUACGUUCGUUGGGUAGGGGAGCGUUCUGUAAGCCUGYGAAGGUGUGUCGUGAGGCAUGCUGGAGGUAUCAGAAGUGCGAAUGCUGACAUAAGUAACGAUAAAGCGGGUGAAAAGCCCGCUCGCCGGAAGACCAAGGGUUCCUGUCCAACGUUAAUCGGGGCAGGGUGAGUCGACCCCUAAGGCGAGGCCGAAAGGCGUAGUCGAUGGGAAACGGGUUAAUAUUCCCGUACUUGGUGUUACUGCGAAGGGGGGACGGAGAAGGCUAUGUUGGCCGGGCGACGGUUGUCCCGGUUUAAGCGUGUAGG
rnacentral:rRNA from 1 species